GAACAUACACCUGUCAGAGCUCCACGGUUGUUUUUCGGACCAAACUGCAAACAUCGAGACCUUAUAAAAGUCGCUUUCGCUCGACUGAGUUACAGUCAUCUAAAGACAGGCUACACGAACAAGUUCCUUCUAUUCUCUCAUCGACGAAGUUUCAUCAUGAAGACCGCCAUACUGCUCUUUGUGCUGGGACUUGUAUUGGCUGACGCCUCCGUGCUUCCCUUGAGACGUGUCAAGGGAAAGUCGACUGGUUUGGAAAGGGCAAUUCAGUGCCCAACAGGUGCACAGUGCUACUCCGGCAACUGUGCUUCCCAAAUAUCUGGAGGGGGCCAAACCCUGUGCUGCUGUGGCGGUGCAAGUAUGCAUAUCCAUGGUGAUCUCGACUUCACCAAUCCAUACUGGCUUCAGCAAAUCCAAUGUACCUGCAACUAUUAAAAGCUCUUCGACGGGAUUCCAAUCAAAGGCACGUCGAAUUCGAAGCAAUUGAUACCUGGACGUUUCUCAACACAGGCCGUCGACGUCAGUAUAUGCUUUAUGGUGAUGAAUAUUAAUAAAUUCACCUAAACUUAAUUUCGUUGUGUUUUUGUAUCAAUACUGUAUACAUUCUUAUUUAGGUUUUGCCUGGCGUAGACUAACAUCAUCCACAUCACGCAAUACC